GUGAGGAAUAUUGCGCAAUGGAGGCAACUCUGACGCAGCCAUGCCGCGUGUAGGAAGAAGGCGCUACGCGUUGUAAACUGCUUUUAACCGGGAAGAAACCCCAGGACGUGUCCUGGGUUGACGGUACCGGAGGAAUAAGCACCGGCUAACUUCGUGCCAGCAGCCGCGGUAAUACGAAGGGUGCAAGCGUUAUCCGGAUUCAUUGGGUUUAAAGGGUGCGUAGGCGGAGCGUUAAGUCAGUGGUGAAAUCCUGCAGCUUAACUGUAGACUUGCCAUUGAUACUGGCGCUCUUGAGUGCGCUUGAAGUGGGCGGAAUGUGCCGUGUAGCGGUGAAAUGCUUAGAUAUGGCACAGAACACCAAUUGCGAAGGCAGCUCACUAAGGCGAUACUGACGCUGAGGCACGAAAGCGUGGGGAUCGAACAGAAUUAGAAACCCGGGUAGUCC
rnacentral:rRNA from 1 species